UUGUUCGACAGGUACACCGACCGUCUCCUUACCAACAGUACAACCAAAGCAGAAUCCAGACCAUGAAGGAGUAUGAUUGGACCCCCAUCCCACCCCGCGGCUGUAUCAUGGGUCAUGGGGAUGUCCCCUCCCCUACGACCAUCUACACAGACAAGGGAAUCCCCAUAUCCGUCAUCCACCGCUUCCCUUCAGACACUUCCUGCUCUGUGCAGUCCAGUCCAGCUACUGCACACAUCCAGCAGGGUUCACAAAGCCUGGCAAACCCUAGGCCCAAGUUCAACACCUUCAUCCCUCACCAUGCUGGUUUUUAUUUCCCUGGUUCAAUGUUCAAUGGACUCAAACUGCCAUAGUGUCCACCAGACAACUCCCUCAUACUCUCAUUACAGCUACUACCAGCCAACCUGUCCUGUGGGGUUUUAGUAUCAUGGCAAUCAAAACCAGGACAGGCAGAGCAGGGAAAACAAGGAGACCAAGAAGAGUGAAAUCAACUUGGACACAGUUUUCCAGAUAGUGGACGAGCUGCACCACAGUUCCCCCAAAAUACGCAUGGUCAAACUGUAAACCCCAGAGCGCCAGCAGCCGGUCCUGGCCACCUCUAUAUCAUCAGGGCCCCAGCCCACCACCAAUAUCAACAGCUCACCAUCUCUUCCCAGAUUGACUUCUCUGUCAAAUCCAGCUUCCUGCCUGGCACAAUACUGAUGGAUGCCAGCACAGUGACUCCACGAGGGUCCAUCAUUAUAACAGUCCCGGUGAACAUGCCUUUUCAAGGAAUUGCCAUCAUGGUCGGUGGUCAUGCAGCUGAUCAGCCAGUCAAGAGGGAGGAGGAACCUUUGCCUGUCGACGCCUAUCAGAAGGUUAGCUAGCCUAGCUUAGUAAAAACAUGGUACAUGGAGGCUAUUAUUCAUCAAGAAACAAACCAGGGUACCUAAACUCAUCGUAUAGUUUAAUAAUUUGGGGUUUAAAGAAUUUAGAAUUGUGAAUGUAAAGAGAAAGCAAAGAUACUCAGUCCAUAUUCCUUGGUAAUAUAUUUUUUUUUAAACAUGUAUCGUAUGGAUGGUUAUCAGGGAUCCUGAUGAACUCUGUUUUAUAAUAAGAGGUUGAUCAUGCUGCGAUUUAUCCCAGUGCCCUAAGGAAGCAUCCAAGUACAUCACCAAGGUGAAGGACGUAAAGGAGAUCAAGGGGGUGGAUGCAGAGGUCUGCAGUGAUCUACAUGACGUUUCAGUGUUCUACAUGACGUUUCAGUGUUCUACAUGACAAGUUUCAGCAUCCUGGCAGAGGCAUCUAAGUUUUUAGCUAAAAUGUCCUGGUACUGGGUAAAGUUCACGAUACCACCACCAUAUUUUACAGUAGGUAUGGGGUUCUUUUCUGCAGAUGCAACUUUCUUUCGAUGGUGUGUGUGGCCAAAGAGCUUUAUAUCCAUGUAUUCAACAAAUGUAUAUGCCUGGUGUUUGCUAAACGGUCUUGGCACUUGGAUUGCAACUACUGCUAUGGUUAGAUGAAAAUGAAAGUAAAGCUCUUUGGCCACGCGCACCAGUGAAGAGUUUUGCGUCGAAAGAACAAUACAUAUGCAGAAAAUACCUAAUCUCUACUGUAAAAUAUGGUGGAUGUUAUGGGGCUAUUUUGCUUCUACAUGUCUUGGGGCCCUUGUUAAGAUCAACGGCAUCAUGAGCUUUACCAAAUACAAGGAGGAAAUGUUUGCCAAAAACAUAGUUUCCUCUGCCGGAGUGGAUCUUCCAGCAAGACAAUAACCCCAAUUACAUAAAUGGUUAAUUGGCCACAAAAUCAACAGUUUGCAGUGGCAGUCUCAGUCUUCAGAAUUGAACCCAAUUUGAAAAUCUGUGGUUUGAACUGAAGAGGGCAGUCUAUGAGCACAGACAAAGGAUAUCAAGGGCCUGGAAAGAUUCUGUAUUGAGAAUGGUUUAAGAUCCCUCUCAAUGUGUUC